UGUGUGUGGGUGGUUGUGUGUGUGGGUGGCUUUAACUCCUAACAGGAGUUAAAGCCACCUGAAGCGUUUUCGACCCCCUUUGGAUUUGAUGUUGGUUUUGAGCGUGUGAUUUUAGUGUAUUGCCGCUACGUGGCAGUUUCCUUCCUUAUUUCCAACUAGACAUGGAGGGAGCAUGAACAUUGGUCUGCGAUUACCUAGCUGCGUAAAAUACCAGCCACAUUCACGUUCCAGUCUUACCCAGGCCGGAGUCCGUCUUGUCACCAGAUAUCUUGCUUUAGAAAAAUCUGUGCUCUUAAUGUAUACAACAAAGAAGGUCGGGUCAUGCUGGCCACCCCCUUAACAUGGGCAAGAAACCUGAAGUCUUGGGCAUCUGUCAAGAGAUGGAGGACGUCCCGCCACAAGUCUGGCACCAGCGUCCCUACAUCGCACAACCAACCAACCUGGUAGAGUGACUGUCUGCUAUUCACCCACACUGACUGACUGAGUGGCUGCACAAAUACCACUCAGGCUUUCAAGACUGAACCUCACCAGGAUCAUCUUACAUAAAACAAAUUGACUCCACCGCACAUAGCCUGAACACAUCACCAUCACGUACUACACCUUUGGGGCAGUAGUGGCUCUCACAGCCUGCGCGGCCCCAACAAACCCCCAAGAAGAACCUGGUAGAGCCACUUCUUUUUCACCCAGGUGAACCCGUCAACCACAGCAACGCUGGAGUCUGACUGUACCUGCCCAAGCGUCUGAAGCUCCGGCAUCCUGCUCCUCCUCACCUGUAUCCAUGUGAUAGCAGUACAUCUCCAGGUCUGCCUCUGCAUGCACAGGUCCUGCCACUACUGAAGGGAGAAUCAAACCAGCUUGUCCUUGUAACCCCCAAUCUGCGGCAGGAAACUGACACUUCUUGCACUGAAGACGCAAACACGCUUGUCCUACAUUUGAGGACAAUGUUAUUCAUAAUGAAAGUGUUAAGUAAAAUUAUAUUCCAGGUCCUGCCACUAUUGAAGGGAGAAUCAAACCAGCUUGUCCUUGUAACCCCCAACCUGCGGCAGGAAACUGACACUUCUUGCACUGAAGAUGCAAACUGUCUCGCAGCACCUUCCAUGGAGGAAUUGAACCCUGCCUGACACCAGCUCUGCCCUGAUAACGCCUAUCUAAUGUGAAUGUACCCACAUAACCAUGUUGCCAAUCACUCUGGAAAUGGUAUAAUUUUCAUCUAAUGUGAAUGUACCCACUUAAGUAUUAUUCCUUCCAUGUUCUGUGAUGUACCCAUGUUAGUACUCAACAAUAAUAAAUGAUUUAAAAAUU
rnacentral:lncRNA from 1 species